rnacentral:rRNA from 1 species
CCUACGGGAGGCAGCAGUGGGGAAUAUUGCACAAUGGGGGAAACCCUGAUGCAGCGACGCCGCGUGAGUGAAGAAGUAAUUCGUUAUGUAAAGCUCUAUCAGCAGGGAAGAAAAUGACGGUACCUGAGUAAGAAGCCCCGGCUAACUACGUGCCAGCAGCCGCGGUAAUAAGUAGGGGGCAAGCGUUAUCCGGAUUUACUGGGUGUAAAGGGAGCGUAGACGGCUGUGCAAGUCUGGAGUGAAAGGCGGGGGCUCAACCCCCGGACUGCUCUGGAAACUGUACGGCUGGAGUGCAGGAGAGGUAAGUGGAAUUCCUGGUGUAGCGGUGAAAUGCGUAGAUAUUAGGCGGAACACCAGUGGCGAAGGCGGCUUACUGGACUGUAACUGACGUUGAGGCUCGAAAGCGUGGGGAGCAAAUAGGAUUAGAUACCCUUGUAGUC